rnacentral:rRNA from 1 species
AGCAGCCGCGGUAAUUCCAGCUCCAAUAGCGUAUAUUAAAGUUGUUGCAGUUAAAAAGCUCGUAGUUGAAUUUCGGGGUCAGUAAGUUGGUCGUGCCACUGGUAUGUACUGGCUUUACUGAUUCCUCCUUCUUGUAGAACCGUAAUGCCAUUAAGUUGGUGUUGCGGGAAAACAGGACUGUUACUUUGAAAAAAUUAGAGUGUUUAAAGCAAGCUAACGCUUGAAUACAUUAGCAUGGAAUAAUGAAAUAGGACGAACGAUCCUAUUUUGUUGGUUUCUAGGAUUGACGUAAUGAUUAAUAGGGAUAGUUGGGGGCAUUAGUAUUCAAUUGUCAGAGGUGAAAUUCUUGGAUUUAUUGAAGACUAACUACUGCGAAAGCAUUUGCCAAGGAUGUUUUCAUUAAUCAAGAACGAAAGUUAGGGGAUCGAAGACGAUCAGAUACCGUCGUAGUCUUAACCAUAAACUAUGCCGACUAGGAAUCAGACGAUGUUAAUUUUUUCAAUGACUCGUUUGGCACCUU